rnacentral:lncRNA from 1 species
AUGAGCAGAAGACACCAGGGGGCCUCAGAAAAGAAUAAGCAUCUGGACCAGAAGAGCUGGAGGGGUGGACGUGGAUCCUCAAACCUCUGGUCCACUGUGCACUUACUUUCUUCAUCUUUCUGUGAAUUACAAGAUAAUACAGAUGAAUGGUCAGCGAUUCAAGCAGCAGGGAAUAUAAAGAAAAAAAUGGAAGCUCCCUCCUUCCCAGUUUCCUGGAGUCUACUGUGGCCAUCAUUUCAUGCCAGAACAUGCACACCAUCUGCCUCCUGUCUUUUCCUGACUGUAUAGUAUUCUACUGCAGAGAAGUGCAUGCGUGCCCUCUGGUGGACAUAAUAUGUAGCAUUUCUUUGUUGCUGCUAAGUCACUUCAGUCGUGUCCGACUCUGUGUGACCCCAUAGACUGCAGCCCACCAGGCUCCCCCGUCCCUGGGAUUCUCCAGGCAAGAACAGUGGAGUGGGUUGCCAUUUCCUUCUCCAAUGCAUGAAAGUGAAAAGUGAAAGUGAAGUCGCUCAGUUGUGUCCGACUCUUAGUGACCCCAUGGACUGCAGCCUACCAGGCUCCUCCGUCCGUGGGAUUUUCCAGGCAGGAGUACUGGAGUCGGGUGGUGGGCUCCAUUUUUUCCCUGUGCCACACAAGACUGGACAGUAUGUCCAUACAGAGGUAAUAUGCACAAUGUUUUAGAAUAUUAACUGUCAGGCACAGAAAGAUAGUUAUUAUAUGAUUAUCACUUAAAUGUGCAAUUGAAAAAUAAUCCAAAUGAACUUAUUUACAAAACAAAAACAGACUCACAGACAUAGAAGACAAACUUAUGGUUAGAAAAGGGGGAAGAGGAGGGGGAGGGCUAUAUUAGGAGUGUAGGAUUAAAAGAUACACAUCCCUAUGUAUAAAAUAGAUGAACACAUCCCUAGUUAUAUAUGUAUAAAAUAUAUAGUAAAAUAAUUUACUAUAUAGUAGACAGAGGAUGAGAUGGCUGGAUGGCAUCACUGACUCAAUGGACGUUGAGACUCAGUGAACUCUGGGAGUUGGUGAUGGACACGGAGGCCUGGCGUGCUGCGAUUCAUGGGGUCGCAAAGAGUCGGAUACAACUGAGCGACUGAUCUGAUCUGAGAGGGAACUGUAUUCAAUAUCUUGUACUAACCUAUAACAGAAAAGAAUUGGAGAAAUAUACAUGUAUGUAUUUAUCAUUUUAUUUAUUUCUGGCUGUGUUGGGUCUUCAUUGCUGUGGGGGCUUUUCUCUAGUUGAGGUGAGCGGGGACUACUUUGUAGUUGCAAUAUGAGGGUUUCUCAUUGCAGUGGCCCCUCUUUUUUGCAGAGCAUGGGCUCUAGGGUGCAUCCACAGUUGCAGCACGUGGGCUCAGUAGCUGCAGCUGCCAGGCUUUCGAGCACAGGCUUGAUAGUUGUGGCACAUGGGCUUAGCUGAUCUGAGGCAAGUGGGCUCUUCCCAGAUCAGGGAUCUAACCCGCGUCGUCUGCACAGGUAGGCAGAUUCUUCACCACUGAGCCACCAGGGAAGCACCGCGUAGAUAUUUUUUAAAGAAUGUUACCUCUGCUGGAUUUCAUCCCAGCUCUGUGACCUUAUGGCAAGUCACUUAACCUCUCUGCCUCUUUCUCCAUCUGUCAAGUGCAGAUAAUAAGAGCGUUUGCCUCCUAGGGUUCUUUCAGUGAUUCCUCAAGAUAAUUCAUGUAAAGCCCUGAGGACAGUGCCUGGCCCCAUGCAAGCGCUUGACAAAUGUGGAUUACUGUUAAUAUUGUACAUCAAUCUUUGCCUCGUUAGGCAAGUAUCUGCAAAUCAGUUUCCUAAAAGCUGAUGAUGAAUGUUCCUGGCUCCCUUUGGAAGACCAGAAUUUAGGCAGCACACUUGGAGAGAUGAAUUACAUUCAGUUUUAUUGCUUUGUUCAUUAACCCCUGGUUGGAGACCGCUGCUCUCCUCCAAAGCAGUCUUGCCCCCACACCAGUCCGCACAGCACAGCAAUAAUAGCUUCUGGCAUUCAAGCCCUCACCAUGUGCCAGGAACCCUGCAAAGCACUUCGACAUGCUUGGUCUAACUCCAUCAACACGAUGACCCUGGAUGCUAUUAUAUUCUGUUUUAUAGACAAGAAAAUUGAAACUCAGAGAAAGAAAGUGACUGGCCCAAGACUGCAUGACCCAACAUGGAGCUGCAAUGUCCCAGAGGGGAAGGAGAGCUGAGGGAAGAAUUGCUAGAGGGGCGCCUGUGACGAGAUAAAAGGGCUACAGAUGUAGCACAGUAGGGUCUGGAUUCCCUUCAGCGGCCAAAGCUCUUCAGAAAAAUGGAUGGAUGGAGGCCCAAGUCAAGUACUAGGCAAAUGAGCUGUAGAGUUAGCAGCUGGCACCCUGCAAGUGCCCUGAGAAUCUGCCAUUCAUUCACUCACCUAUUCAUGCACAUAUUUGUUGAUUGUCAACUGUGUGUCAGGCAUUGAACCAGUUGCUGGGAAUAUAUCCCAUAGGAACAUGACCCAGAGCUUAGAAUUUACAGUCCGCUUACCAGAAGGCUUGCGGGAUGUUGCUGAAAUAAUGAGUUGUAUGCAACUCUCAAGACUUAUCGUCAGGACUUCUCUGGUGGUCCAGUGGUUAAGAAUCUGCCUUCCAAUGCAGGGGACGCAGGUUCAAUCCCUCAUCCAGGAACUAAGAUCCCAUAUGCCUUGGGGAAACUAAGCCCCACCCUGAGCCUGCCUGUCCUGGAGCUUGAGGGCCACAGCUGGAGAGAAGCCCUCACGCUGCAACGGAAGAUCUCACAUGCUACAACUAAGACCCUUACACAGCCAAAUAAAUAAAGAAUUUUUUAAAAAAAGGUUUAUUAU